ACCGUGAAAGAGAAAAGUGCUUACUUGGGUCGAAGUCGACAAUUCAAUUACCAUA
rnacentral:rRNA from 1 species